rnacentral:rRNA from 1 species
GACGAACGCUGGCGGCGUGCCUAAUACAUGCAAGUCGAGCGGACGAAUCGAAAGCUUGCUUUUGAUUCGUUAGCGGCGGACGGGUGAGUAACACGUGGGCAACCUGCCCUGUAGACGGGGAUAACACCGAGAAAUCGGUGCUAAUACCGGAUAACACGAAAUGUCGCAUGACGUUUCGUUGAAAGACGGCGCAAGCUGCCGCUACAGGAUGGGCCCGCGGCGCAUUAGCUAGUUGGGGAGGUAACGGCUCACCAAGGCGACGAUACGUAGCCGACCUGAGAGGUUGAUCGGCCACACUGGGACUGAGACACGGCCCAGACUCCUACGGGAGGCAGCAGUAGGGAAUCUUCCGCAAUGGACGAAAGUCUGACAGAGCAACGCCGCGUGAGCGAAGAAGGCCUUCGGGUCGUAAAGCUCUGUUGUUAGGGAAGAACAAGUAACGCAGUAACUGGCGUUACCGUGACGGUACCUAACGAGAAAGCCACGGCUAACUACGUG